rnacentral:ncRNA from 2 species
UCGACGAAACAGGGGUGCUUUGCGCGCGGGCCACACGCCGCGGCGAGGCUGAGAGAGACCCUUUGCACCCGAUCCGGGUAAUACCGGCGCGGGAAGUUUCCGGAAGUCAGCG